GUGGUCACUAUAGCAGCACACAUACUAAAAUUGGAGUAAUACAGAGACUGGCAUGGCCCCUGUGCAAGGAUGACAUGAAAAUUAAUAGUUUUAU
rnacentral:snRNA from 1 species